rnacentral:rRNA from 1 species
UGGGGAAUAUUGGACAAUGGGCGCAAGCCUGAUCCAGCAAUGCCGCGUGAGUGAUGAAGGCCUUCGGGUUGUAAAGCUCUUUCGCACGCGACGAUGAUGACGGUAGCGUGAGAAGAAGCCCCGGCUAACUUCGUGCCAGCAGCCGCGGUAAUACGAAGGGGGCUAGCGUUGUUCGGAAUUACUGGGCGUAAAGGGCGCGUAGGCGGCCUGUUUAGUCAGGAGUGAAAUCCCCGGGCUCAACCUGGGAAUUGCUUUUGAUACUGGCAGGCUUGAGUUCCGGAGAGGAUGGUGGAAUUCCCAGUGUAGAGGUGAAAUUCGUAGAUAUUGGGAAGAACACCGGUGGCGAAGGCGGCCAUCUGGACGGACACUGACGCUGAGGCGCGAAAGCGUGGGGAGCAAACAGAUUAGAUACCCUGGUAGUCCACGCCGUAAACGAUGAAUGCUAGACGCUGGGGGGCUUGCCUUUCGGUGUCGCCGCUAACGCAUUAAGCAUUCCGCCUGGGGAGUACGGCCGCAAGGUUAAAACUCAAAUGAAUUAG